GUUUUAACAGGUAUGCUACACAACUUUGCACUCUGCAUUACGAUCUAUGCUUGAACUUUGACCGUGAAACAUGCAUCAACUUAAUACUACCUAAUAUAUGUAACUUUGGAUUUUUUUUUUUUUCAGGUUGAGGUGCACCAUGUUGUCUGCAAUAUGCUGUUUUACGUAUUGCAUUUUUCACCAUAAGUAGGAUUGUCUCCCAUCCCUAUCAGCACCCAUCUCCACCCUCUAGCAUGUACAACAAUGUUCGUAUUUGGAAAUUUCUGUAAAAUUAACUUAUGAUGAUUGCAGAAACUUUUUUGCAACAUCGCAUAAUUUUAAUCUAUACAUCGCAUAAUUUUAAACUUUUUUGCAACUUACUUGAAGCAAAUGCAAGAGGAUAACCAACCAGAUGUCCCAGUCCCAAUAUUAGAGUUUUGUUAACCAUCAUAAGCGAUCCAAAUGUCGAUAUUUCACUGUAUAAGUAAUAUCUUGAGUUAAUCGCAUCAGCAAAAGCCAGAGUGAUGAUACAAAUGACAGGCACGAGAAUUGCUGAUGAUCCAAAUGCGAGUAGCACCAACCAAACACUUGCUAAAGCAAAAGCUUGUGAAGGAUCUUCCUGCCCUAAACACAAGUCAAAUCAAAACCUCAACCAAGUAAAAGGAAGUUUCCAUGAACCAGAAAAUAGAGAGGGAAAAGGACACAGGCUAACAAGAAUUUACCUCAGCAUCUGCAUAGGUUGAUUGUCGCCUGAGGCUACAUCGAGGAUACUUAACAACAGAUUUUGAACCAUACAGCCGCAACUUCAACUGUUAUAGAAAAUACAAACGUUAAGCAAAAGAUAGUGAAAAUGGACAUGAAGGAAAGACAGCCACUUGAUUAUACCUCAAUUUUAUCAAACAUCGCAUCAACAAUCAAAGGUUUACCAUUGUAAUAUGAAUCUCGUGCCUACAACAUAAAAGCAAGAUGAACAAGUAGAUGAAUUUACACAUCCAAACUUCCUAAUUCUGAGGAGAACUUCCAAAGAUCAUAAAUAAUGGACAUAACCAUAAAUAACGCUUUGCCCAAUGUUUCAUUUCUUUCGAUCAAAAUAAAAACAGAGCUCCAGAUUAUGACUUAAAGUGACUGCAACAAGAAAAAGUAGUUCAAUUCAUCUCAUAGGCAAAUUAAUUGAAUUUCAUGCUUCCUGGUACAAAAGAAAAGCCAAAGAAAAUCAUAAAACUAAAGUUCAUCUACUUGCAGAAACCUAUCAAUUAAUGAACUCCAACUAAAAAUGGAUGACAAAAAUAAUUAGCAAAAGAAUGAUGAUAUGACCAAACUUACUUAAAUGUAUUAUGAGGCAGAAAAUUAUCGAACCAUUUUGGAGGAUGAAGGUAAUUAGAAGCUUUAUGUGGUUUAUUCCAAAAACAAUGAAGCUCAUGUUGCAAAUUACUGAUCUCCCUGAUCUGUAGAGCUGAAUCUGAAUCCUAUAUAGACUUCAAGAUUUAUAGUACUGCAUGUUAGUAAAUUUUGCAAACACAUUUAAAGAAAAGGGAGUUCCAAAUAUGCACAUCAGUUCUUGUUCUUCUUUAUUUAACAUCUAGCACGUUUGAAGAUUGCAGAAUCUCUUCAUUGUUAUCCUCGAAUAGUCCAGUGUGUUAUUUGCCUCUUGCAGGAUGGACAUCACAACAAGAAUGCUUUUACCUGCUGAUAGAGGGCCUCCAGCAUCUCCUUACUGGCGGUCUCGAUAGGGCCGACGUAGAGGCAGGAGGGGGCAUCCGCCGCGACCGCGAGUACCGGGGAGAACGACCUUCGGCCGCCGCCGCGCGGCCGCGGCCGGAGCCGGUCGUGCGCGGAAAGGGGGCGGGCGCGGAGGACGUGGAAGGCGGGGACGGCUGCCGCUGCGGAGGAGGAGGACGAGGAGGAGGACAGGGGCAUGAGGCCCGCUGGCGCCUCCGCGCGUGGAGGCAGCGGGCAGCGCGGUGUAAUCGCGGCCGCAGACGCUGCGUUGUGGCCACCAUUUAAGAAGCCACGUCUCUCGACGCACCACCACAAGACGAUCGCAAGCGUGAGUGGAUGUGUGUCUCUCAUUGGAUAUUUCUCUUUCAGCUUUGCGCGGCCAAUCAUCGAAUAUAUAAAUAUACAUAUAAUAAUAUCUGUUAGUUUUGUCCAAAAUAAUAUGUCCAAUUAAUCUGUGAAAAUGAUCUUAUUUUGGUCUCCCAUAAAAUAUAUAAAAGAUGAAAUUAAAAAAUUACCCCACACAAAGAAAUUAUAAUAACCUUUUUUUUUUUUACUUUACUCAAGACAUUAGGAAAACAUACAAAGUGGAUUAUCCGCUUUGCAUCGAAAUUAUUAACUCAUCCAUAAUUUCUUAUCUCAAACGAAACAAAAAUAAUAUUUUGUUUAAAGAUUCAUUUAAUAAAAUCUCACUAAUAUUUUAAAUUUUGAUUCUAUAUUAAAUUAGAUUACAGUUAAUUAUGUCAAAUCUUAUGAACACGAAUCGAGUCAAAUUCAAUGCAUGUAUCAUUAAAGCUAUUGGAAUUUAUACACCGAAAACAUGAGCGAUAUCAAGAGCAUCUAUGAAGAACAGAUGAUACUGAAAGAGAACUUGCAAGAUACAAGAUUACGCCUUUGUGUUCUUUCUAUCCCCUAAGUAGGAAGCGAGGAAGCCGAUGGCCUUGGAUGAGCAAUCUUUCUAUUCCCUACAUCUUCCCAGCUUCUCCAACGAGGCAUGGCGGGCCGUUGGCCACUUGAGUUCUGUUCGGUCUUGGGGUUUCUCUCGGCAUCCUUGCCAUGCUGAAGCUGCUCCAAUGCCACUACCACUUGAUCCAUGGUUGGCCUGUGCUUUGUUUCCAAGGACAGGCACCUGUCUGCGAGACCGGCUAUUUUCUGGGCUCCUGCCAGUGAGUACUGUGCUCUCAAUCUGGAAUCCAGGAUGCUGAUGAUCUUCCUCUUGCUCGCAAGAUGAGGCUUCGCCCACUCCACCAAUUUGUACUCUCCGGUGGGGCGGUUCUUGUCGAUGGCACGUCGGCCAGUCAAUAUCUCGAGAAGAACAACUCCAAAGCUAUAGACAUCACUCUUGGCAGUCAAAUGUCCUUUGAAAGUUUAUGAUGCAAAUCAACAAGUCAGCACAUGUCUCAAGCAUCACUUUCAUUAAGAAUGUAUGCUCACCAAACCUACCUUCUCCAUGUAAUGUGUAGAAGAUUACAAUCUAUAAAGAUGAGAGAGAAAUAGUUUACCCAAAGUUACACGUAAUGACUACUCGGAGGCACCCUUAAAUAAUAUCUUUAUUUCCUCAUUGACUUGACUAAUAUUUAGCUUAAAUAACUCCAAGGCUCUAAUCUCAUGUAAAUCACCGAUAUAGUAGUAAUCGGAAUGGCAAAUAAAGGAUGAAACAAGAUGCCUAAUCACUAUAUAAGCUACAAGGCCGGCCAUCUCCAACAUUACUUGUUGAUAUUUCACACAAACCAAGUAGUAAGCAAAGUAUUGUUUGAGAUGAUAUGUGCUAUUGCUUUUGUGGCAAUAGUUUUAACCAUCACCUUAUGUGCAGAUUGCAUAAUUGAUCCUAUUUAAAAGUGAAGCAUUCUAAAUAGAUAUACUAAAAGCCAUGAGAGGCCGAGUUGGAUCAAGAUAAACUAAUGGUAAGUAAAAUGAUAAACGAUAUAAUUAGUUUAAUAGACACCUGACCAACUCAUGUGUUCAUGAGGAAAUUGCAAAUUUUAUGUGACUUAAAUGACUAAACAGAUGAGGGGUUUUUGUGAAUUACAAAUCAGAUGACAAGCAAAAGUAUUCCAGGCUGUGAAGAAGACACAUUCAGCAUUUGCAAUAAUAAAGAUGCAACAAAAUUACCUGUUGCAAGAUACUCAGGAGCAGCAUAUCCAUAUGUCCCCAUGACCCUUGUAGAAACAUGGCUUUUAUCACCGGUAGGACCAUCUUUCGCCAAUCCAAAAUCAGAAAGCUUUGCAUUAUAAUUCUGUACAUAAAUCGGAAACAUCAAUUCUGAAAGUUGAAUGAACGUCCAUUUCAAUGUUGAAAACCUAGAUGACUACAUACUGAAUCAAGAAGCACAUUGGAGGUUUUGAAAUCACGAUAAAUGACUUUCGCCUUGCUGCUAUGCAGAAAAGCAAGUCCUUUUGCAGCUCCCAGAGCAACCUUCAUGCGGAGGUUCCAGGAGAGUGGCUGAUAGUAUGAACUCCCUGCAUCACCAUAAGAGCAUACAAACUGAGAUUCAUACAGAUUGAAGUAGAGUAACAGCAAACAGUAGCAAUCUCUUAGAAAACAAUUCCUUCAAGUAAAACGUGAAGAACACAUCCGGUAUAAUAUCAGAUACAGUCCAUGAAGAACAUACUCCUGAAGAGAUGAUUCUCCAAGCUUCCCCGAGACAUGAAUUCAUACACAAGAAGUCUUUGUUCAUCCUCCAAGCAGUACCCAAUAAGCUUUACAAGGUUAGGAUGAGACAGCUGACUCAAGUAAUUAACCUCCGCCUACAAGAUUUAAAGAAGAUGCUAUUGAGACUACAUGUAUCUGGUAAGCUACAGAAUAGAAUUUGAAAUCUAAGUUACCAGCUCGAUAUACAUAUCAUUCAUACAUGAGGUGGAUCUCAACACUAAGAAAUCAGAGAACAAAAGAGAGCAAAGAUUUUGCAGGAAUCAAUACUCACCAACCAUUCUUUGUGACCCUGGAAACCUUCCUGGUUGAGUUUCUUCACAGCGAUAACCAUUCCAGUCCCAGGCUUAGCUGCUGCCAACGUGUGCUCAUUGAUCCAUCCCUUGAAGACUGAACCAAAGCCUCCCUCUCCCAACACACUGUCUGGCCGGAAAUUCCUGGUGGCAGUUCUGAGUUCAUUGAAGGUGAAGCUCUUCAGAUUGGAUGACGUCAAGAUCUCACCCUCACUCCGUGGAGUCGGCGGCACGGAGGACGCAGACACCCUGCUGCUGGAACUGCUUAAAACGUUUCCCUUCCUGCUCCCAUGUGGAGAGUCCUCUCCUAGGCAUUCAAAUACAGUGUCUACUAGUAAAUCAGACUCAAAAGAAAAAGCCACAGACAAUGCUUUCAUCGUAAACUCUUGCAUUAGCCAAUCAAUUGAAUCAAGUAAUACAACUUAGCACAAUUCAUCACCUUACUUAACAUUGUGGAACAAAAAAUACGAGCGGCAUACUUUACCAGAUAAAUUAGCAAAAUUGAGCCUAUGUUUGAAAGGAAUAACUGCUAAUAGGCAAUUUCCACAAAAGAAGACUUACACGGGAAUAAUUCCAAGAGAAACACAAAAUUCACUCUUCCAACACUAUAUAUAUGUGUGUAUAUAUAAGGCAGUAAAACAACUCUUAUUGAGUUGAUCGAUAUGCCGAUCCAUCAAAUCGAUACCUCUUCCUACCCCUCCAAUGACAAACUGAAAUGUUGUUUGCCCUAAAUUAUUUCCAAAAUUAGAAAUUUAAUGAUCUCUAAGAACAGAUUCAGAACAACUUACUCCCUUCAGGGAUGACAAGGUGGGAUCUCUGAUGUGGUAAUAGGAAAUUGUGAUAUGUCACUGCCGUGUUAACAUGACAUCAGAUAAAUGCCCCAUAUUACUGGUCCACAUUAAUUAAUGGAUGACAUACCUGCAUCUGCAUGUCUCCUUGGUGCCAGGAUCAUUCAUCGUGCCACUACUCAUCACCUGCGCGGUAGCACAUCUGACACCUCUUCUUAGAAGGUUUAACACUAGGCAUUAAUGGACGACGGAAAGGGGUCAGGUAGGCUCCUCCGUCCGCCUCCGAACGACGACCAAAAGUGAUUCAUCGACAAGAGAACGGUGGAUUCCCUAAUCUACCAUACUAUCAUUAGUAAUCCCUCAGAGAAGACAGUUAAAUAUUGCAACUUUUUUCACUUAAUCCACUAAAAAACCAUUCAAUUUCUAUGGAAAACGUCCCAAGGUUAUAAGCUAUGAUCGAACUCAGAAGCUGCAUAAAACAAGAUGGAACCUUUAGUACCUGAAGCGAAGACGUCGUGGGAGGGGUUCUCCGCCUUGACCUUAGCGCCCCAGCAAUUACCCAUCGGAGAACAACCCAAGCGUGACGACAGCCACGGCCUUCAAUCUACUGGCAACCCCCGAAAGAUAGGGUUCUCCGCGGCCAAAUCUGUGAGGCAAGAACCACCGGAUCCGGCAAGGAAGCAGCCUUUUGGCGCAGUAAUGCAGCAGGAAGCCGAGGUUAACAGCGAUUCGGCUUGCUCACCAAGAGCGGAUCUCCAGUUGCGGAGCUCCAAAUGAAAGCUGGGAUUCAGCGGCGAAGAGGAGCGAGCUUGAAUCGAGUGACGAGUGGAGAGGGCGCAUAAAAAGAAGAGAGAAAGAGGAAGAGAGAGAGUGAUAGGUGCUUCUUUUUGCGCUUUUGGUGUUCUGUGUUGCUUUUUAUUAAGUCCGUCACGAAGGUUGACUUCAGAGUCAUGGAUUGGAGAGUCGUAAUUAAUAGCGACACAAACUAUAUAUAUAUAUAUAUAUAUAUAUAUAUAUACUCUUUCAUUAAUAUUGUUUAUAACAGAUUAUUUGAUCGCAAGAAAUGAUAAACUUUGAACUAAAUAUAGGACUUGGAGUCCUUCGUUCUCAUAUUUCUCAAUCAAUAUGGAACUAAAUAAUUUUAUUAGUGUUUUAUUCCGAAGGGGAGCCAAGGACGAGUUUGCUUGGUCGAAGUGUAAGCAUCGGGUCCUCCUUCGAUCGGUCAAUCAUUAGUAUGAUCCAUAGGCUCACGAGGAAUUAUCCAUUUUGUGCAAUGGGCAUACCCGUAUAAUUUAUCAUUUACGAAGCAUUAAUGCGGUCAUUAGUGUGGCUCAUAGGCUUACGAGAAAUUAUCCGCUUUAGACAAUGAAUGUAUUCGUACGAUUUUAUCCUUUUUCAUAUAAGCUCCGUAAAGCACUUAGUUCCAUAAGGGAGAUUUCAUGAACUUAUAAGUUCUUAGUUCCAUACUCCUCGAUUAAUAUUUGAACUAAAUGAUAUAUAUAUAAUCACUGUCCACGACUUUUCCACGUGGAUUGAUCUUUCGUCUUUGAUGUCAAUUCCAGCCUCUGUGCCAGUCUAGAAAGCAAUAAUACUUCACGUAAAUAAUGGCAGGAGCAGCUUUACAAGUACGGUUACAAUGGAUCUGCAAUCUUAUUUGAAAGCUCUGGAGGUGGGUUUACUCUCUGCGACAUGACACCGAGAUAAUAUAAAGCUUGAUAGGAAUUGAUAUAUAGAGGAGAGAGGCUUAAGGUUUGGCAACUCUGUCGUAUCACUGUCUCCAUUAAUUGGAGUUUGCUCGAGGGAAGAAUGAGGGAGGUCAAAAAGAGGGCUCUGCAACUUGCGGCAGCGGCACGAGAUUGCACGUAAGUGUCGACCAAAAGCUGUGGUCUCAAACGAACAUGAACACCUCACGAGAAUGACAUGAAGGAUUAGGCCAUGGUUGAAGUGUCUGCAAAUCAUAAUCUCAAAGAUAUCGAGAUGACAAAAUCCGAUUACGUUCAGAUGCAAUGUCCUCAAUAAAUCCGAUGAAAGUGCCCUAUAUAUACGUAAGAGUCGUGAAGGAAAGCUGCGUUUGGAUAGAAGUGGGGGCAGACAAUAAUAAAGAGGGGGGGUCGACUUCGUAAGAGGUUGAGCUGUGUCCCCAUGUGAGGGAGCUGAAGCUUUUCUUCCUCCCUACUGCAGAGAGGCGGAGGAGGGAGGAGGCAGCCCCCACUUUGACUUGCUCGAUUUCUAGAUGACGGACAAAGAGCAUGCACCAUUAUUACAAGGAUGCAAGAGAUGAAGGAUAACAGGAGGAAGCAGGCUGGGGAAGAUGAUGUGCUUCUCAAGGGGUACGAAGUGGGGUGAUGACGUCUCUAACAUGUCUUUGGAUUCGUCAUACUGUGAAAGUAAUGAAACUAAACUUUCCAAGCCUAAACUACACAUUUCCCUACAAUUCCCGCAUGCAAGAAACUAAACUUUCAAGUCUAAUCCCUAAAGGCAACGAAUGGAAGAAAGAAAAAAAGAAAAAAAGAGGGGAGAGUAUAUUAUAAUACAUUAAUUGUGAAUUAAAAUGCAAUUAACUAAACGAGGAAACUAUUUGCCAUUACUGCAUGUAAACAGAUAUAAUAAGACAGUAAUUCUCAUGGCAAGUUAUUUUAAUGAUCCACUAGCACACGUGAAAGAUAGAUGUCAUGAAAGCAUCUUAUUGCUGUCGGCAUUGCCAGCUAAAAUGUGGUAAAGAGCAGGUCUCCCAAGUGGUGGAGAAGCUGAACUUACAAUUAGUUGGAAAUGAUAAUUAUCACAAAGCAAAUAAACAAGUUGUGCCGAUUUUUGAGAGUUGCAGAAUCUGAAAUAUGGCUUAUUCAUCCUUGAGGUGCUUCCCUCACUCGGUUCUUAGCAAAGAAACUACAAGAAAAACCCACGGAUUCUCAACACAAAAUUCAGAGGUCAAUACAUGAGCCUCGACUUGAGAGUUAGGAGUGUGUCCUCAGGCAGACGACUUGACUGUAGCAGCAUUGAUGAUGUCCACGAAUUCCGGCUGUAAUAAACAAAUAUAGAAAGGAAAGAAGAUGAGAUCUAUAGCCAACGUAACCAACAAAUUUAGAGUCAACUUGCUAAUUGAAGAAAAUUCCAAAGCACAUUCUCUUCAGUACUCAUGUCAUGUAGCCACCGUCUGCGACAUGCCAGAGAUAAAACAUGCAUCUAGCAAAGGCAAUGGGACAGCAAGCAUCUUCAUAACGUGUGAGGAUCAUGAAGUUGCCAACUAGUAGAUGACUGUUAUUCAUAUUGUGGUUGUCAACCCAACCCCCAAAAAACAAGUCAAUCUUAGUGCAAGUUGAAAUCCAAGCAAUUUUUCCCUCUGAAAAGGGUACCAGACAUGUUUUUGUGGUCAUUCUUCAUGCCAGAAAAGUAAAUUAUCACUCUUGUGGGUUUCAGAUAGUGACUAAUGACAGCCAAGAAUAUGUAAUAUAUUUAAGGACAUGCAAAUCUAGACAGACAUGUAGGAAAUAUAGACACAUACCUUCAAAGAAGCACCUCCUACAAGAAAUCCAUCGACAUCAGGCUGUGCUGCAAGCUCUUUGCAGUUAGCCCCACUUACAGAACCUGCAGGAAUUUCAUUUCUCAUGUUAGCAAAAAUUUCACAAGUAAUAUAUAAGAUGUUACUCCAUACGAGUCUCAUCAAAAAAAGGAAACACAAAUAAAAGAAACACGUAAAGAAUUACUCCCAGUUCACCAUGCUCAGUGCAACUCAAAGUGAUACAAGUACAGUCGUCUGGAACUUAUGGAGACAAGAGGAGAAAGGAAAAUCAAGUUGACAAUGAACAUUUACCUCCAUAUAUGAUCCUGGUUGACGCUGCAACUUCAGCACUCACGUUUGUUUGAAGCCACUUCCUUAAUUCCAAGUGGACCUGAGAAUCAUUGGAACAUGUGGCAGAAAUGGAUCAUAAUGAACUCUGAAAGAAAUGUCUUGGGAAAAAUCAGUAUCACAAGACAUCCUUGUGAAGCUAACAUAGCUCAGCAUGGAAAACAUGUCCACUGGUGUGAGCCUUAUGUUACCAUAGUGCUGUUUUGGCACACCCCUGAACUUGGUGCCCACGGUCUGUACUAACAGGUAUGGGUGGGCAUGACCAACAUAUGAAGUCCUUGGUGUUACCGAGAAAAAGUUUUUUCUAAGCUGCACCAUGCAUGAGCAUUAAAGAUGCCUGAUGUUACAUAUCUAGGAAAAAGAAUAAUUUAACCCUAUGAAAUUCAAUUAUACGUGGUGAUCAUAUGUUGCUAAAUAUAAAAAUGAACAGCAUAUUUUAUUUUACAGGAACUUAGUGACCAAUUAUAUUCGAGAAAUGGUGGCCGGAAACUUUAAGCACGUUUAGAUUGUUAGGUUAGAGACUUAUAGGAAGAUCAAAAACUUGCAAAUAAAUAGGCUAGGUUCAAAACAGAAUCACUUAGCAACAAGCCUGUAUUGUGUUACUAUGGCAUCAAAAAUGCAGAAAAUCUUUAACAAUUUUUUUUUGAUAUAACAUAUAUAGCAUGCCAACCUAUUUUGGCCACUUUGGACAAGACAAAUUUGACUAAUGAUUGUGAAUUUUACAUAAAAUUUGACAAAUAAAUGUGAGUUUUAGAUCUGCUGUUGAAGUAGCAUAUGAGACAUCACUGUGAUCUCCAAGGUAAAGACCUCAUUGUCCCAGUAGUCUUAGUGAAUAUAGAUGCAGAUGAUGGCAUAUUUUGGUAAAUAUUUUCCAAAACCAUACACAAGCAUUAUGAAGUAAUAUCCACAGAACUCGAGAGUUGACAUGGAAACAUGUGCAAAGAACUAAUACCUCCUGGGCCUGAGCUGGGGUAGCAACCUUUCCAGUUCCAAUUGCCCAAACUGGCUCAUAAGCCACAACCACAUUGGUCCAGUCAGAAAUCCGUUCUGUAUGAGAAAAAAUCAAUUAGACAGGGUACCUAAUAGUAAAAAAUAUUUGGUACAGAUGUUUCAUCCUACAAAAUCAGUUAGACCUACUACAUAGAAUGACACCCAAGAAUGACAGAUGACCCUAAAACUUUUUACAGUUAUUAAAGUUUAUAUCAUGAUUCCACAAGUACAAGAAGGUGCAUAGCUCAAUUGAACCAACGGGCAACAGCUUUAAUUUAUGAUAUGCAAAGCCAUAAAUACUUCUCUAGCUAUAUACAACACUAGGAUGUUUGUUGUGUACUUGAAAUCUAUUAUUAUCACAUUUUCUUCUACAUAGGAAGGGUUAAAUUGAACUACCAUUAUUAUUUAAGUCAAUGAACAUUCUAAUUCAUCCAUUGGAGAAGAACAAAAUUGUAACUCAUGAGACAUCCAAGUUAUGUAGCUAAAGCAUUUGCUUGUUGUGUCAAAUUCAAGAUUGUGAACAUCAUACAAAAUCAAAGAUGACAAAGAAGAAUUGAAUUCUUGGAAUUUAUUCCACUAAAAUAUAUUGACUGUGCUCCUAUUUGAUCGAAUGCAAUUUAGUCAGAUAAGGGCACGCUUGGGUAAAACAAUAAGAUUGCAUUAAAUUUGCCCAUAAUUCACAUUGAUACACCCAGGAUCCCAUAGUGCCAAGAGACUGCAUUAAAUUUGCCCAUAAUUCACUCAGAUAAAACUUUCCUUUUUCACACAAAAUAAAGAAAAGUAUACUUUAAAGUAACCAAAGACCUAAAACAACCACAAUAUUAACAAAUACUAGCUCAUGCUCUUCCUGGUUACAUGCAUCAGAUCUGGACACUGAUGACCACUUAAACAUGUGGCAUACCUAAAUGUUAAAUGUAACCAUCUCUUAUAUAGAGUCACAAUGUGAUUGAUACCUAAGCCAUGACCUAGCAAUAAACUUGAAACCAUACUGGAAUAUGACUGAGACACAGUUACUUAAAACUUCCCAUGCCAGCAGAAUUGAUGUAAAAACACAUGAUACAACACUUUCUUUUUACACUGGAUGUGUACACAAAACUCAGCCCACAAGUUAAAGUGACAAUAACACGAGGCAUGCAGAGUACCUGCGAUAGCUUUUGUUUGUGCAGCAACUACAUCCAUCGUGGUUCCUGACUCACGCUGCUCAAGUGUCUCACCAACACAAGCAAUCACCUUCAGGCCUUUAGACAGUGCAUAUGCAACUUUAUCUCCAACAAACUGCCCAAGAAAAUAAAAAAUGUGAAUUAGAAGGUAUUGAAUAUCUAACAAAUUUGAUGACAACUUCAGCAAAUUUCCUUGAUAGGCAUAUUAACGGGGAAGACAGCUAAAAUAUAUGAGAUAAAAUUCUAGUUGCUUGCUGGUAAAAGUGUAUGGUCAUUUUGCAUCACAAGUUGUUAACCAAAAUAUACUAGCAUAUUCUACCAAAUUACAUUGUAUACCAGAAGCUAAUACAACUUCCUUUUGUUCCUAUAAGUAUGCAUUAUAUCGUUGGCAUCCAUAGUUUAAAUAUUAUGGAGAACAAGAUCUUAUAAGUAUAAUAAUUUGAUUAGAAACUAGCAUAAAGCUUAAUCCAGCACUUAACUGAUUUCAUCGAGUGAUAAAAUGUGCAACUAAAUUUUCAUGUCGAUGCUAACUGCUGUCUUUUUUGGAACAUGCAUAACAAGAUCGGGAAAGCAAGAUAUAUGGCACUUUAGCAAGCUACUAGCUAAUUGUUAAUGCAGCACAUCUAGGAUUUGCAUAUAGCCUUUUAGCACAUAGGCAACUUACCUCAUUUGAUUCACUCAACAAAAGCCUUCGUUCAGAGUGUCCCAGAAUGACCCAUGGAAUGUCAAGGUUGACAAGCAUCUCAGCACUGCACAAGGAAAAACAAAUAUAUUCAAAUUAGGAGUGCCCAAUUGUUUUACAACAUUGUUAUAACUUAAAGAUGUGCAAGUAGGCAAUGAAAUGGCCAUUCAAAUAAAAACACCAUCAAAGUUGAAAAACCUAAAAAUAUACUACAGAAUGAACCAAAAAUAGAAACCUUAAAAAUCAAAAGUUCAUAACAUAGUAAGAAUUUGAUGAAAAAAGGCCCAUAAAAUGUGAUCCAAUGAUAAAAAUAUAAAUAAGAGAAAAAGUUGUUCUUAUUUGAACAGAGAGCAUGAACAAGUUCAAAUUCAUCUAGGGACAAAAAUCAUACCUAAUCUCACCAGUGUAAGCACCUCCUUUCUUAACCCAACAAUUUUGUGCUGCGACAUGGAAUUCAGGGCGCAACGAGCUUUUUACGAGCGGAAGAAAAACAAAUGAAGGGCUAACCACCACAUCUGCAGAGAUAAUAAUACAUAUAAUUUAAUGCGUUUACAGUGGUUGCACAUCGACAACUAGCCUAUCUAACAGUUAUAAAUAGAUACAACAUGUAAAUGACAGCAUACACAUUCUAAUUCCACAAGACAGUUUUGCAGAACAUGUGAGGAACUGGAAAAGCAACUCAGCGGAUAACACCAAUGAGUAUCAAGAACUAAAGGUUUCAAAGGCGAAGAUAUAAUUCUAUCUCUCAGUCAAAUAAAAUUGACGAUCGCUAAAUCAUCAUGAAUUUCUUGAGAAUCUAGUCUCGUUAAAACUGAAAUUUGUGAAUCAGAUGCCAGAGGGGAUGGAAUAGAAAUUAAUGUUCAGAAACCAUCUGAAUAACGCACUGACUAAGUUUCACACCAAACCAAACAAAAUUGUUGGUUACCAACCACUCAUCUAACAUCUCACUAAUCAAGCAGCAAUGACCUGGAAUCUUACCUAAGGAUCUUAGCAGUUAAUACCGACGAUAUAAAAGACAAAAAUAUAUGAGGAAACAUUGAAAGAAAAAAGAAAGCUCAAGUAGAUCUGACAAGCAAAUGCAUAGGAUUUCAUUUGUGACAAAUAGAACAAACAGUAUGUGAAUAUUUCCAAAACAUAUCCCUAAAUAUUCGAUCAAGAUCAUAGGGUUCACAACCAUACCGACAACAUCAGCCGAUGCAACUUUGCCAUCGUUCAGGAUGCUGACAAUUUUCUUGACCUCCUCGCUGGUCCCAUUCUGCGAAUACGGCCCAAAUAAAAACACAUUUAGCAUCAGAGUUCCAUGAUCUUAUAUUUUUUCCCAUAUUUAGUAGGCAAUCAAAAUCAAAGAGGACUAGAGAACAUGGAGUGGAGACAUAAAAAAGGAAACAGAGGUGUCCGAAUCCAGUAUAUCAAGAAGAUCGACUCUAAUUAGUUAAAAUUAGUGGAAACGAAUAAGAUUAAUAUGAAUCAGAGAAGAACGAGAGGAAACAGCAACAAAUCAUGCCGAUCGAUGGGAUCGGAUAACUUAAAGCUGACGAUCGAUGAAAGACGAGUAAAUCGGAGAGAUUUCCAGCAACAAGGACUGGCCAAGACCGCAAAUUUCACCAGCCAGGCUAUUAAGAUCUGCAAAAGUGGCAGUAGGGCAAAGUACCAAGCGCGAUCUAGAAAAAGGAAGAAAAGGGUAAAUGCGAGGAUUACGCAUUUCCAGUUGCCGCCGACGAAGAACUUCCUGGCCAUGUCUGAGGAGGUAGGCGACGAUGCUCAAAUCCAAAAGCCCUUUCCCUUGGCUUGGUCGAAUUAGAGGAUGCGGAGGUCUGGGCACUCAUAUAUACGGCGACUGAGACGAGAGGCGAUGGAAACAAGGGGAUGCAUUGGCACGAAUCUCGAACGUGCCAUUGGCUCCGAUGGGUGUCCGCGAUCGAUCCCGCCCGUCGAAUCAUAAGGAUCAACGAUCUGCUGUUUCCCCUUGACACAGCGAAUAGAUUUAUCAUGGAAUAGAUAUCUAGACACGUAGAUAAAGCUUCCGGGACAGGACCCACAUACGUGCCGUCGUGCACAGCUGCCGGCGAGCUGACGGUGCGAGUCCUGCGUGGUGAUUGGGUUCUCGGGACAUCGAUUACACGCCGUCGAGGGCAAUAUAAUAAGAUCCAGGCACUUGUAAUACAGGAGGAGCCCAUCGGAUCGUACAUCUGUGGGUUGGAUGAACACAGCUCUCCACGAUCAUUCUAUUAUUAUUAUUAUUAUAGCAAUAUUAUAAUUAUUAUUUAAGAUCAAGAUACAGUUAACAUUUUUAGCAACUAAGCUAGUAAACAUCUUUAAUUUCUUUUAAAAAAUAUAUUAGAUGAUACUUUGACCUUUAAUAUUUGGUAAGAAAGUAUAAUAUAUCAUCACUAUAUUAAUAUUUAAUAUAUUUAUUGUAAUAAUAUUAAUUAUUAUAAAUUUAUGUAUCGGAUAAAAUAUUAUUAUAAGAUAUAUCGAGCAUGAUAUAUCUAUAUAGCUACAAGAUACAUCGAUCCAAAAUAUAAGCAUUAAUGUAUAGGAUGAACCAUAAUUGGGCAAAGGAUUUCUUAUGACCGAUGCAACCACUUAGAGCUCGACGAAGACAAUCAAAAUGUUUUUUUACUCUUUAAGAAAAUUAGAUUGAGAAGAAAACAAACAGGAAAAAGAAUUUUUUGUAUUGGGAAAAGACAGCUACUUCACAUAACAUAAAGCACCGAAUACAACACUGCUACCGUAUCCGGAAAUCAUACAUACUUAAAGGUAAGUAUGAUCGACAUCAUCUCUAAGUCUUACGGAAGGAUACUCCCUAUUUAAGAGCAACAACGCUUCAGCAACUCACGUCUGAUAUCUGCAGUUCCCGUAACCUGCCACAGUCAAAGAAUGAUCAGCGCUGCAGGAAUCAGGAAGAACAGAGAGGGAAAGCGUGAGAUCAGAUAAAACGCAUGCGUCCACUUACUUGGGUCGGUCGAGGUGAGGACGCCGCUGCCGCCAAAGUAGCAGUUGAAGUCAUGGCGGCCGGCGGCCUGGUAGUAGGCGUUCAUGGCAUAAGAGGCGUGGGCCAAGAGCGUGUUGGGGUCGAAGCACGCGCCGCCGUUCUGUAUGGCCCCGCAAUCCGCCCCGCCGCUGCCGCACGCGUAGUCGAUGUUGUUCUGCAGCUCCGCUAGGCUCGCGUCCGCCGUUGCCACGCACCACCUCCAGGAAUCACCCGAGGGCGCCGGCGCCUGCAGAAUACCACCGUCACUCGAGUAUCGAACGGAAGCAAAACUCAUUUCUAGCAUGGCUGCCCCAACCAUGUUAUCUAGCAUGACCGUCCGACCCUUUGGUAUAGUAACUUUUUUAGAAUGACGUAUUUACCCUCAAUAUAAUACGUAUACUCCCCCAAAAAACAGUGUUUAGUGUCGAUUGGUUUGAAUCAAAUAUUUAAGAUAUCAUUAAUAACAUUAUCACCGUAAAAUUGAACGGAUGUUUAUGAUAAAUUUAAAUUUAGAAGGAUAAAUACGAAUACGUGUAUAAGUAUAAUAUACGCAAUUUUGAAGUAAAAGUAAAGAGGAGGACAGGACUCACAUUGUCGCUGUCGCGCAUAAGGCCGACGUCGUAGGACGGGGAGAGGUCGGCGUUGAAGAGCCCAAAGUGCCGCUCCGCAGUCGGCCCGGGCUUCAGGUUCUCGUUGAACAGCGCGAACACGUACGUCUCGAACCGCCGGCCCGGCAUCAUCGGCGUUCCCUUCCCAGAGUUCACCAGACGUAUCAGGUUGGCGUUGUAGGAGACCGCGUCCUCCACGCUCACACCGAGCUGGCCCGGGUCCCCGGCCGACGGCCACCCCGUCUCCCCCACGGCGAUCUCUACGUCUCCGUACCCCAGUCGCUGCAUCGCCGCUUGCACCGCGUCCAGCUGCGCCACGAACAUGUUGGUGUAGUUCACCCCCGUGGCCGGGUCGAACACCCCCGGGUUGGGGCGGAAGAGGGCGUAGUCGAGAGUGCGCGCUGUGUAGCCGAAGUAGGGGUAGGGGUUCACCACGAACGGGGUGCGCGUCCGGCGGUGGAAGUCAAGCAUCGGGGCGAAGAUGACGCGGUCGUAGCCGGGGCGGAAGCGGCCGGUGGAGGGCGGCUCGGAUGCAGAGAGGAUACCGAGGGAGUGGGGGGUGGAGACCCUGAUCUGGGGGAAGCCGGAUGCGGCAAGUGCCGCGGAGAGGGAGCGCAUAGCGGGGACGAGAUGGGCGAUGAGGUUGCGGUCGGAGGUGGCGAGAACCUCGUUUCCGACGGCGAUGAGGGAGAUGUUGGUCGCAGGGUAGAAGGGGGCGACGUUUAUGGCAACCCAGGCGGAGGCAGCAGGGGAUGGGGCAGAGGAGCGACGGGAGGCGAGGGAGGGGAUGUCCCCGUUGGGGACCGUGAUCAUGAGGGAGAUUCCGGUGCCAGCGAAGGCACGAAUGAUGUCCGGGUUGGCGUCGAAGAGCUUCACACGGUCGACGAAGGUGCGGUCCUUGAGGAAGGCGGCGACUUGAGCCGGCGGCGGGAGAUUGUCCGCGAAGGCACCGUAGUUGACGCCGACGGAGAGGGCCGCGGACAAGGAGAGAAGGUGGAGUAGGAGUAAGGGGAAAACGACGAGCUUCGCUGCUUUCGCUAGAGAAGCCAUUGCCGAGGGAUUUGGGGCUUUUGGUGGUGAAGCGAGACGGCGAAGGGGGGUGGAUUUAACGAGGGAAAAAGGUGUGCGAUGUUCCACUGACGCCUGUGGGCGCUGUCACGUGGCGACGACUUCGAAACGGGGAAUACGAACGUUAUGUUUCAAGGAGGCUGCCGCGAUCCACAUUCAAAUACGUGGACGGCUGAUUGGGGCGGUCCAAACAAUAGCUUUAUGGACUAUGAUUUAGUGUACAUAAAAGCGGGCGUUAUAAAGAUUACCAAUUCAUUUCCAACGCAAAUAAUCCACGAUGAUUGCAGAUAUUAAAUAUAUAAUCACGCAUUUGUAUAUACAUAUUUGGUAAUAAUUAGGGGUUUCUUUAAUUGGAUUAAUUAAGGUAUUAAUAGCUUAAGAAACAGGAGCAAGAGAAAGAGCUUGAUGGGCCAUAAGGAGCAUUUGGACCUAACUUUGAUGGGCUGUAGAACGGCUCGAUAGAAGCCUGUCAAAAUGUGAAGCUGACGAGAACCGUUAAACCCUAACCGGCCGACUACUCCCUCUCUCUUCCUUCUCAGCGCUCCGUGCUUGCUGGUGACGAAGGUAUGACCGCUACAGCUCGCUAAGGAUGCUGGCCCGAUUCGUUUCCCAUCGCGGCCCCUUCCGCUUCGUAGCCCUAACCACCGUAGCUUCCUCCCAUGUCCGCCGCGCCCCGUCCUCUCCCCCUCCUCUCCGGCCUCCGCCCACCUUUCUUGGUACUCUUACUCGUCUCGCUCUCCCUCCCUCCGAUCCCAAUUCCACUUUCUUUCCGUCUCUGAGGUCAUUCUCGAGCAAUCGAGGUGACGAUGACGAUGGCGACUGGAAGUUUACGCCGCAGUCCGACGAGGUCGGCUCCGUAUUCGGGGAGGAGGAGGGCGACCUUGCCGGGAUCGCUGAUGCCGCAGAGGGCGGGUCGGAGGUGGCCGCCGCCGGGGCCGACGUUAAGAGCGGGGAUCUGUGGGAAAAGGGUAUUGUGACGGAGGGUGAAGGGGAUAUUUUUUACGGCAUCGAUCGGGGGUUUGUGGCCAAGGAGGGCGGGGUAAGAGAAGGGAAUGAGGAAUGGGAGACGGCGGAGGGGUACAAGCCGUGGACGCUUGGUGACGAUGAUGAGAAAGGGGACUUGUUCGGUGUCGUCGAAGAAGGGGAGGCAGGGAUUGAGGGGAUCGAUGGCGGUGGUGUCGAGGAUUUGGAUAAGGCAAGGGCUGAUGAGCAGAAGCAGCUGGAGAAGAAAGAGGAAGAACUUUUAGCUGCUUUGAAAGGUAAGAAUCACAGAACACAUCUCAAGAAAGGAUCUUCUUGUUUAAUGUUACCCGAUUGAUGUUAAUCUCAACAGUCAAUGCUUAUGUAUGUACCCAUUUUCUGCAAGCUGAUUUGUAAUUAUCAUUGAUCUGGAAUUUUCUAUGUUGCAAUAUUUAUUGAAAAGGUUUUAGCUUGUCUCUUCAAUAAUUUGAAGCUUAUCCUAGUUGUUUGUUGUCUUGUACUGUCACCUGUGCUGAUAUAUGUUUGGGAAAGAAACUGCUUCUUUCUUUAGGUUUCUCACAAAUGACUGGUCAUGUUUAUUGUUGGUUUGAUGAUGAACUUUCUUGCUGUAUCGUCUCCCAUUCCAAUUGUUUUGGUUCUCAAAAUGUCUUGUUCCUGUAGCAAGUGGCAUGAAUGACAUAUGGCAAGUAGCAGUCUCUAUUCAACAACAACUAAUGUCAAGUUGUCUUGCUCCUACAACAUAUAAAUAUGAAAAAAGCAUGAAUAAUCUGAGACACAGGCUUUGCCAUCUUUCUAAUGUGUACACGAGAGAGAGAGAGAGAGGACUCAAAAUAUAUUUUGUGUUAAACAUCUUUGUUCUAUGGUUACAUGUAAAUCCAUUGAAGUAAGAUUAUUGAUUUAAACCUAAUACCUGUGUGAAGGAAUUGUAUGUUUAUCUCAUCACAUAAUGUUGCUUCUUAGUUUCUAUUGUUGUUGUCUUUUCACUAUUUCUUCUUGUGGAGUGAUAUAUUUCUAUUUCAUCAUGGAAUGCUGUUUCUUACCUUCUUUUGGUGUUAUUGGUGUUCUUUCUUCUUGUGAAGUAAAUAUGAUAAGAUUAUGAGAAUUAAAAUGAGAAAUAAUAUAUGUUUAUUUCAUCAUAGAACAUUGCUUCUUAGUAUCUUUUGUUGUUUUCUUUGCUCUUUCUUCUUGUGAAAUAAUGUGGCAAUGUUGUGAGAAUUAAAAUGACAUCCGAGGAAAACAUAAUCUAUCUUGUUUUUAGCUCGUUUUAGCCCUUUUUUCUUUAGAGUGGUGGAUGUUCUUGAUACUAGUUUUCUCUGAGAGAUUUUACUCUUCUGUUUUGGUGAUCGUGCUUCUUUGUCAUCUUUGUUCUUUUGGUUAUCUAGCAGAACUUUUUUGGUAGUCCAAUUUCAUAUCUUGUUAUUUUACUUCUUUCUUUUAAUUUAAAUAUCCUGAAGAUAGUACAGGAUAACUGUUAGAUAGUUGAAGAUGUUUGGGUUCUGUUGUAUUGUAUGUUGGUACUUUCAGAGUAGGACCAAUGAAUAGAUAAGAAGCUCCAUUCAUGUUAAAGAGACUCUGAUUGCUUGCAUCUUGUGUUUCUCCUUAGUACACAGCAAUGCAAACUGCUUAGGGCUCAAUGUUUAAAAUGGCAGGUCCAAAUCGGGCAUUUGGAGAUCUCAUUGCAGCAUCAGGAAUCACGGAUGAUAUGAUUGACAGUUUGAUUCUCUUGAAGGAUGUAAGCGGUGUCAAGGGUUUGCCUCCCCUGACAGAAAUUGAAGACAAAGCUAUUGCAAGAUUGAAUGAGACAUCAACAAGAGUUGAAAUUGAGCGGAAGAAACAGGAGGAAGUAGCAAAAGCUCGGGUUAGAGUGGUGGAUGAGAAGGGGAGAGCUUAUGGAACAGGAAGACGAAAAUGUAGCAUAGCUCGUGUAUGGAUUCAACCUGGUGACGGCAAGUUCAUCGUCAAUGAAAAGCAGUUCGAUGCUUACUUCUCAAUUCUUGAUCAUCGAGUACAACUUCUUCAGCCUUUCAUUGUGACAAAAACUCUUGGUCUCUGGGAUGUAAAUUGCACCGUCCAAGGGGGUGGAGUUUCUGGUAAGCUUUAUGACUACAAAAUUAUCUUUGUUUUGAGAAUUAUUGUAGAUGAACGAUCCAAUUUUAAGUAGAAAAUAACAGUGAUUUAAAAAGGUGCUUGAGCGCUCGCCUAGGUCUCGGGCAAGACGAGACGAGGCUCAAGCCCCUCGUUUAAGGGCCAGGUUGCGCGCUUCAAAGAGGCGUCGCCUGGGCGCUCGCUCCAGACUAGGCACCGGGUGCUUCGGGCAAUCGCCCGGUUUAAUUAAGCAAACCGAACCAGACUUUUAAGUCUGGUUUGGUUAAAUAAUAUAGUUUCUUACCUCAAGCCACCCUUCACUCUCGCACGACCCCGAGGAACCCUAGUGUUGCUUCUGCCUUUGUCAUCGACACUUUUUGUCGUUGCCUCCGCCACUAAUGCAAAGGACCAAACCUUCCUUUGUCGUCGACUGGCGAGUCCGACGCCCCCCGUAGCUUCCUUCCGCUGUUGCUCUGUGUGCAGUUCCUUCCACUGUCGAGGGAGUGGAUCGCAAAUUCCUUCGCCACUGACGGACACCCUCUGAAGCUUUUGUCGUUGUUGCUGUUGCUGUCCGCAGCUUUCGUUGCCGAUGUCCGUAACUUCCUCCAUUGGCGCUGUUGCUAUUCGCAACUUUCGCCGCUAUCACUGCUGUUGUCCGCAACUUCUACCGUUGUCGCUGUUGCAACAAUUUUAAACUGAUCCUCUGUUAUUGUUAACAUUUUUUUCUCCCCUCUAACUAUUGUUAAUAGUAAAUAAUAUACUGUUAACAGUAUAUUUUUAAUUUAAUAUCAUAUUUUAUUUAAAUAUUUUUUAUUAUUUUAUAUAUUUUAAUAUUUUAAUAUUUUAGAGCAUUUCGUUUUGCUCGGUGAGCGCCAAGUGCCUUAGCCAUUUUGGGACCUUGGUGCCUAGCGUUUUUUAAAUCACUGACAAGUACAUGUGUCGUAAGACAUACACAAGCAUUGUUAUAAAUUCUGUUUUUCUUAGUUGACGAACUGAAAGACAAAAAUUACCUUUGUAGAUUUAGAGAGGCUAUCUUUUCUUGUUUUUAGCUAUGGGACUGAUGCAACGAACCUCUUCGCUAUUGCAGGUCAAGUUGGUGCCAUUCGCUUGGGAAUCAGCAGAGCCUUGCAAAACUGGGAACCAGGGCUCCGGCCUUUCCUAAAAGCUGGUAAAUACUCUUACCAAAUUAGUUAUUAAGAUAUACUGUGAUAAAAUUUAACAAUCCAUUUUAAAUCCUAGCAUUGCAGUGUAACCUCAUCCUCAUUGUGCUUCUCAUGAACCCCCUCUUGGAUUUAGUAACCGACCUACCUUCAUCGCCCGUGUUUAGAUUCGAGUAGUGUGGCAUAUAGUGUGGUACUUAUUAUCCAACUGUUGACAUGGCUUGUGUGCUUCAUCUAGCUGGCUAUUUGACGCGAGACCCACGUGUAGUCGAACGGAAGAAGCCUGGAAAGGCCAAAGCCAGGAAGAGCUUUCAAUGGGUCAAGCGAUAACAGGUGUGGUUGUCAUUCCCUUUCUCACUGGAGAUACACUACCCUGUCACCAUUUAGGGGCUUACGAUGUUGAUCUGGAGAUGUAUCAUUUAUAAUGUGCAGGUUCUUGCGCAUCUUCUGCUCUCAGCUAUUUGGUAUUGCUGGCCCCUCAGUGAUGUUAUACCUCUGCUUGUUUUGUAGCCUGUAGCUCAAGAGAUCUUACUUACUACUUGCUCAUCCACUUGUGAUCAUAUAAUUAAUUUAUUUGAGCAACUGUAGGCAUCCAUCUAUCAAUCUUUUGCUUGUCAGCUUUUAUGUGGACCUUCUGUGUUUCAGAAUAAAGCGAACCAUCAAUUUUUCAAAGAGACACCAUUACUGUUCCAGAAUUGAAUUGAGGAAGGUAGUGAUGAUGUCUUGUUGUUUUUAAAGGUAACGGUGUAAAUCCUUUUAUCAAUAAUGUUUCUUUAGAAAAUUAUAAGACCUGAAAGUGAAUCAGAUUAUCAAUUUAUAUUUUACAUUGGAAAUUGUGCAAAAUGAUAUGUUGAACCUCAUUUCCCUUCUCUCCAUCUCUUCCGGUUUCUCCCAUUUGACAAACUUAUUGGGAAUAUUGAUCUGAAUUUAUUUUUAUAUCUGAGGAGUUAAUGACCUGACAAAGAUACACUUUUUGAUUUAUUUGUCGAGGAUUAAAGAUUCAAUGAUCUUUUUUGAUUUAUUUGGCAAGAAUUUAAUAAAUAAACAUUCAAAUUUUAUCAACAUUUUUUUAUACCAAAAAUAUUGAUCUUCUUGUUUAUCUGCAUAAUCAAUCCACUUCUCUAAAAUCACAAGCUCAGAACAGGAAAGCGAUAUGCAUCACAGGAAGAAAACUUGCUUCUUUUUCAAGUACUAAACGACACACAACACUCGAAACUAACAGCAGACGCACACAAACCACAGACAACAAGAUAGAAGCAAGAGAGAGAGAGAGAGAGAGAGGGAGAGGUCUGUUCUCUCUCUCAGCCAUGGUGACGAGAACAACAUCCUCCGAGGGAAGAGGGUUGAGACAGUAAGCCAUGGCCUUUUAUUUCCAUCACCAAGUCCAAACACAAGUCACUAACCCCACAACACCACCACCGAUGCUGCUCCUCUCCCUCUUCAAACUCUGAUCAUCUCCCUCAUUUGCAGUUGCAGGGAUCGCAGGUGCAGUUGGAUCCGCACUUGCAGCCAUUCUCGGACCCUUCAGCUGCCAU
rnacentral:lncRNA from 1 species